rnacentral:misc_RNA from 1 species
CCUACAGUGGGCAAGGCAGUGGGUGUGAGCCACACUUCAUAGUGGAACGAGAAGAAAAAAAAGAGCAGGAUGCGCGGUUCGCACGUGGCACGCGGCUGACGCGUGCAGACGUUCGGCGCCCAAGGAGAACAUCAUUCUUGCACUGGAGCCGGGACACGUCGACCAAGCGAACCAGAACAAAAAAAAAAAAAAAGGUGAAAGAUGGCGGCGACGCCGUACCGGCUGCGAUGCUCCUUGCUGGGUCAUUCGAUGGACGUGAGGGCCGUUGCGGCCGCACACAAACCCGAAGGUGCCAUCGUCACAGGCUCGAGGGACCGAACGACGCGGAUCUGGCUGCCAAAUGAGGGCAGCUGCGACUAUUAUGAAAGCCAGUGCCUCAUGGGGCCGAGCAAUUUCGUGUCCAGCGUGUGCACGGUGCCACCCUCGGAGCAGUACAAGUCCGGCUUCAUCCUGGUGGGCAGCAACGACUGCAGCAUCUACUGCUUCAGUCCCGAUUCGCCACAGCCCCUGUACAAGCUGCUGGGACAUAGCGGAGCCGUCUGCGCCCUGGCAGCAGGUCAGUUCGGCACGCUUCUCAGCGGCUCCUGGGACAAGACAGCGCGCGUCUGGUACGGCCAGAAGUGCGUGAUGACCCUCGAGGGCCACCAGCACACAGUCUGGGCAGUCCAAAUCUUCCCCAAGCAGGGGAUCAUGCUCACUGGAUCGGCCGACAAGACCGUGAGGCUGUGGAGGGCAGGAAAAUGCGAACGGAUCUACACUGGUCACGAGGACUGCGUCCGCGGUCUAGCCAUUCUUUCCAAUAUGGAGUUUCUCUCGAGCUCCAACGACCAGACCAUCCGGCACUGGACGGCCACCGGAGAUUGCCUGCGUGUGUACACCGGACACACCAACUACAUCUACUCGAUCUGCACACUACCCGACUCUCCCGCUGGCACGGAAGAGUUUGUCACGUGCGGCGAAGACCGAACUGUGCGCAUCUGGACAGUUGGUGGCGACUGUGUCCAGACGAUCGCGAUGCCGGCGCAUUCGGUGUGGUCGGUGGCGUGCCUGGCCAAUGGAGACAUCGUUGCUGGCACAAGUGAUGGCGUCGCUCGGGUGUUCACGAGGCACGCAGAGCUUCAGGCGCCGCCCGAGGAGCAGGCGGCGUUUGCGGAGGCAGUCGCCAAGUUUGCACUGCCAGCUCAGGAGAUCGGCGACCUCAAGAUCAAUGAACUGCCUGGCAAGGAAGCCCUCUUUGAACAAGGUCAGAGAGAUGGCCAGACAAGAUUGAUACGAGAGGACAACUUGGUCUCGGCAUACCAGUGGGUUGCAGCCGACAAUUCGUGGCAGAAAAUCGGGGACGUCGUGGGCGCGCCAAACGCGGACACUCCCGUUGGCAAGAUCACGUACGAAGGAAAGGAGUACGACUACGUCUUUGACGUUGACUUGGACACCGGCGGGAAGAUGAAGCUGCCAUACAACGUGACCGAGGACCCGUGGCACGCCGCGCAGAACUUCAUUCACCGCCACGAACUGAACCAGUAUUACCUCGACCAAAUUGCGAACUUCAUUAUUCAAAACACCAAGGGCAUGGUUAUCGGGAAUGCCGUUCCUAGUACAUAUCAGGAUCCCUUUACAGGUGGCUCAAGAUAUAUCCCAGGAACUUCAACACCCCAGCCUGCGCAACAAGCAUCAUCGCAACAAGGUGACUCAACGGAUGUCGACAAUGCAGCGGGCGACAUGACUGUCGGUGGCCAUUUCUUCCCCCACACGUCGUUCGUCCGCUUUGACGUUGCCAACAUCCAGGGAAUCCUGAGCAAGAUGCGGGAAUUCAACGCCCAAGUCCCUCCCGCUCACACGGUGGACGACGAAGACUUGGUUCACCUGAUGGAGCUGGCCAGUGCAUCGGGAGCACCCAGUGAUGCCCAGAUGGCCGCUCUCGAAAAGGUGGUGCAUUGGCCGGAAGAUUAUGUGUUCCCGGCGCUGGACCUGCUGAGGCUCGCGCUGCGAAAUCAGACAGUGAACAGCCGUGUGUGCCAGAUGAGCGGGGCGCAGCUGUGCAGCCUGCUGAUUGGUCUGCUGUCGUCGACGGGCCGCAACGCGGCGGCCAAUCAAAUGCUAGUCUUGCGCUGCUUGUGCAACCUGUUCUCCCAGCCGAGCGGCGAAGCACUGGCACUGCAAGAGCGCGAGCGGAUACUGGGCGCGCUGCAGCGGCGGGCCGCGGCCGGCGGCGCCAACAAGAACACGCAGAUCGCCAUGUCGACGCUGCUGCUGAACUUUGCCGUGGCGCACUUGCGCGAAGGGGUGGUGUGCGACCCGCAGGCCACGGAACGCAUGGUGCAACUGCUCACCACCAUGGUCGCCGUUGCGGCUGAGCUGACAGACGGCGAGGCGCAGUUUCGGCUGCUUGUGGCGGCUGGCACGCUGUGCAACGUGGAGGGUACGGGGACGGCCGAGAUCCGCGAGCUGGCAGUGGCGCUCGAACUCCCACGAAUCGUGGAGAAGUGGGUGGCAAUGGACUGCCCCGUCAAGGUGAAGCUGUGUGCGCAGCAAUUCCUCGAGUCCCUGAGGUGAAAAACGCAUGAGCUUGCCCGGCUGGCUGGGCUCUGCAAGUUAAAAUCAAUCCGUCGGCUGUGUGCUUGUUACUUUGUUGUCUUUUUUUCGCGCCGUUUGAUUUCAUGCUCGUAGCAAAUUCCUGCCUAUUGGUCCCUCGAGUCAACGCACAGGUUGUCCAAAUUCUGGAAGAACGAUUUGCGCUUUCCCUUCUUGUGAUAUAUCAAAGAAUGAUGCCUUUUUUUUCUAAUGGCAAGAGAAAAGCCGAGAUAACAACUUUUAAUAAAUUCUCGUUGGAUAUAUUCUUUCUGUUACUACGGUUUGGUACAAAUAUGUCACACUGAAUUACUGCAUUAAACUGAAACGCAUAACCUCUUUCGCGGAAGGCCCGAGGCCUAAGUCUAUUUUCCCAGUUCGGAAAGCAAAGCCUUGCACAAGUCUCCGGUGUGCGUCUUUUCUUCGUCUCCAUUUUCUUGGAGUGAUGUGUGAUUUCUUGUACAGAGCUGUUUAAGGAAUACCUGUAGGUUUAAACACAGGUUUUGAAAUUGCUGUGUAACUGUCUUUGAAAUGUUUCUUCGUGUGUGCGCCUCCGUAUUCAAGAAGUUGUGUGCACGGUCUGUGCAACCUAACCCCAACAAAGACAUCGUCACCUCUUUGCAUUCUCCUCCUUCCCCCUCGCCCCUUUUCUCCCAUGUCUCACUUCUCUGAUGCCUCUUGUAAAUACUAGCUUAGCUGUCCGCUGGACCCGGUGAAAUUCUAACAGCCCCAACACAUCAUUCUCCUGAGCGCCUGUGUCGUCCCAAACUUGCAUGCAAGUAGCGUAGUUGCAAACUUCUGUGAAUGGAAUAGAUUGUUGAUGUUUGAGGCAGAUGCAUUGUCAUGUGCACCAAAACGAAGCUGCCACAGGAAAACAUUGCUGCAAAUCAUUCCUUUACCCUGAAUCGGAAAACCGGUGGUAGAUCAAAAUUAUCUUUCACAGCCAAACAGGUCUGUGGACGUUCCCAGGUAUAUUGAAAGGGAAGUUUCGUUGCACUUGCAGAGAACGUCAUCUUUAUGAAAUUGCAAAUUCUUCGAUUAACGUAGUUCAGCAAGCUAGAGUCGGGAAAGGCUAUGCAGAGAAGUGUUCAAGGAUGCUGAAAUUCCCACUAUAUCUUAUAGAGCCUGUGGCAGAGUCGUGUGCUGACUGAAAACUCGCGACGCUUCAUUGUAGGCAGUGUUUUAUUGUUGCAGAAAAUUGUACCGUUUCUGUCAACUUAGCCUUGCAGCAGCAACUGAAAGAUGGUGCUAUUCACGUGAACAACGAUGACUCUGCAAACGCUAACAGCACCGCACUGUGGGCUGGUUUGUGGGAUUUUAAGCCCACGUGUUUAGUUUCACAAGUGUCAAGGCUGAAUGUCUGGUUUUAGAUUGCACAUGUCGACUGAAAGCACAUGUUAAUUCGACAGCUCACCUUAGGCUUAGCUUAGGCCUAAUCUUAGGCCUAGCUCGUUCUUCACAUUGCAUUGUUUGGCCAAGCUCAACUGUGGUCGCAAAGACCCACUGCAUAGCGCCUUUUCCCCUCGUGGUAUCAGUGGCCUAUGGCUUGCAAAAAAAAUUACCCCAAAGUGCUUUGCAUUUGUACAGCAUCUUGUUGCAAGCUGCCAUACAAACCGUGCCUCAGCUGUUGGACAAAUAUCUAUUUUUUUUUUUUCUGAAGUGUAUGAUAAAAAAGAAUGGAUGCGUGCUUUAUGGAACUGUGCAUAGUAUCUGUUGCCGCGGAUUUAUUACGGUGUUAAGAAGCAGAACAGAGGAAUAGCAUCAAUACCUCAGACACAUUGAAACAGAAUGCACUUGGUGUUACUGCAAUAGGUUUCACUCAGUGAAAAAUUUGGAGGCGUUAUGUAGAGUCAACAGUGUGCACUCUGUUUUGACUUUGUGAACGUGUUAGCCACUUGCACAUGCACUGGCACCUUCUCGUAACCUGUGCGAAACCUGCUACAGUAGCACGACUGGCAUUCUGAAAAAAAAAAAAAAAAAGGUCUUGGUCAGGGCAUAUCGACUUUCUGGUACUCGAACAAACCUUCACAUCAUUAGUACGUUUAGGCUGCAUUGAGAAAACUAUCACAUAUCGUUAACGAUCAUUGCACCUUACCUGCUAAACAAAUGGUUGCUUUUUACGCUCAAAGCCACUUGCCCAAAUGCGAAAUCACUUGAAAGGCCUCCCAUGGUGCCUCCGAUUGCUUUAUCAAGCUAAAUGUUUCCCUAGCGUCAAGGAACAGGAGCGAGCACCCUGGCUUGAUAAGUAGCUGCUUGUGUACUGGCACUUUCACGUAGCCUGGUUUGCUCAUUUCGACAUGCUUGUGAUUGAACUGAGUUGACCAUGUUUAAUGGCAGGCACUAGACAUUAAUGAUAGCACUUGCAAUUUUGAAAUAUAAUCCACCAGUUUUUUCUCUAAAAAAAAAAAACGUGUGAAAAAGUCUUUUAUGGCACGUACAUGUGAUAUAUUUCAAGAACACUGAAGUAAGGUUGUGCUUUUUUUAUGGGAAUAUUUUCCCCCAACUGCCCGAAAACGUACGCACCGCAUCGCAGCACUGAUAACUGUGAUGAUGGUGUCGCAGAGCGUGGAGGAUUGGUGCCUCGUUGCCACCUGGUGAGUUUUUUUGCAACCAAAGAAAUAAAACUGAGAGAGUGCUUUUAAAGGAAACAUCUUGUGCCUCGCCUCUUGACUGUGCAGUCAUGCCCCCAACUCUCAAACUACGUGUGAAAGCGACUUGCCGUGUCAAGUCAUUUGUGAAGAGCUUGCAGCUGUAUGCGUCAGGAAAGGAAAACUAUUUACCGAUAAACCAUUCCACCAGGAUUGCACAUCCUGCCUCUUCAGAAUAUCAUUCGAGUUCAUCGAAUGAAACACUGGAAGAGGGGAGAAUUCACUUUUUGUAAAGCUUUGAUGAAACAUCCACAACAAAAUAAAUUAGCAUGAAUCCAUAUACCAAUAAGGGUCCGUAAUUUUAUCAAUAAGGCGUUCGUAAGUUGUCGGUGAAAUUCUUGGUGCAAGUUAUCAGUGAGCAUUACGGAUAAUUUUGGAAUUAAGGUAAGUACUAGAUGUGCGCAUGAGAGAAUGUGCCAUACACUAUCCUUGGUUCACUUGUAGCAAUACAGUCGCUCGCGUGACACUUUGCACUACCAGUGACGGACACAUCGCCAUUUACGGGUAAUAGCGUCCGUAGCUCUGUGUAAAGACUGCUUGUUCGGCUCUGUGCAAGCAACACCUUCAGCCGUAGACUGAGUAUUCGUCCGAGAAUAUUUUCCCGGUUCUUCCUGCCGUUUGGCUGAUCCAGAUUGUACUUUUUGUGGCAUCACACAUAUUUACUGAAGUGGGAGUGUGACUUUAAAAGCAUGCUCGGGGCAUGCAUGAGAGCUUUUGUUGUUUGUGCACAGGUGGUGCCUGGCAUCAGCGUUGAUAGAGCCUUCAACGUUUUCGAGACAUACUUUUUUCCUGUUAGAAUAGCAGUGCAUGAGCCGUUUGUCCAAACAGUUAGCACUGCCGUUAUGAGAGUGCCCGACACUUCUCCCCUUCUGCCGAACUUCUCGGGCUGGAAAAAGAAACAUCAUUGACAUUUGGUCAGCCAUAAUGGUCUGAACUAGGAUAAUGUGAUGCCACCAGCUGUUUUGUUGGCAGAUGAAAGAAACAGUAAGUUUGAGUGACAGCAUUCUGACAUCGAGUGUGAAAGAUAGAACACAUGUACAUGUGUACAUAAAUAUGGCUGAAAAAAAGAAUGCGCCCUCGAUUAUAUACAUAUGCACCCACAUCACUUGCAUACUUAGUGUGUACACUACUGGUACAUAUAUUUCACGUGCAAAUGUGCAAACACGAGGCACAUGCAUGAACAUGUUCCCUACCAUCUUUCAUUUUGCACUUCUGGAACUGUACCAAAAUAUAGUGGCAUGCCCACGUAGGGGGGGGGGGUGGCAUUGCUAAAAUUUGAAGAAAAUAUAGUAGCGCAAGAAACGUGUUUCUGUGGACCGUUUUCAUAGCAACAGUCUGAGGAAAGAAACGUGCUGCUAAUGUGGAAUUUACAUUUGAGCCUCUGUCUUUCGGCAAAUGUUGUCACAGGGUUGAAGUCAGCCCAGCCUCUUAAAGAUCAUGUUGGUUUGCUUACAUGUUUCACCUGUACAUAAGAUGAAUCCUCUCUAUGCUGAAGCAUGGCUUUUUCAACACAAAAUCUUGCUGGGCUUUCUUUGGGAGAGCAGCACCUUGGCAGUGUGUCAGAAGUCGGAUACAACUUUAUUAUAAGGUAGCAGCGUUUCUGCUGCAUUUUCUUCUCAAAGUUUAAUGAAUAUGAGCGCACUCUUAUGCUGACAGCGGAGGCCAGUGCCUCCGCUGUUCAGGAACAUGGCCAAAAAUGUAUGGGGCUAUUUCUUUAGUUGCGGAGGCAAUCGGCUGCCGCAUUUCAAUCAUCUUCCUGUCCUGCCUUCUUAAGUUCUAUCCGACUGCAGUGCUAGUGCAUCAACACUGCUUUUGCGUGUUGUUGUGCCAGCUCCGAAACAGCGUAACAUGCUUUGCACAAUAAUUGUUCUGAUUUGGGGAAAGUGCGUUUGCUCAAAACUUUCUUCUGACACUAUUUCGGUUUGCUUUGUCGGUUGCUAAUUUAUGCAGGUGUACUUUUGUAGCACUAGCUUCCUUGUACUGCCGUGCUGUUUUUACGUCACAGUCCGCCACACGUGUUCGAGACAUGGGAUUGUGGCCUCAAAAUCAGUAUUUCGAUCAGUUUGUAUGCGUUUGACACUGUUUUUUGUGAAGUUCAAAGCGUGCAUUGCCUUACCAGAGCGUAGAUCCACACUUGCCGAAGAACCAUUGUUUCAAAAAUUUUUGUGGUCGACUGUACAUCGCUAGUGCAUCUAUACACAUACACACACACAAAAAAAAUAUUUGUUGACAUACGUGUGCUUUCUCUACUGUCAUUUCCCUUGCAUCAUUGUAUUUGUUGCAUAAAAUAGUGCCUAAUCAGUUUUUAUAACUGCAUCCUUGUGCACUUGCAGGGACACUACAGAGAAACAUUAAGUUUUGAGUGGUAUUGCAUCUUAUUGCAUCUUUGAGCAGUAUUGCUAAUUUGUGCUAAACAGCUGUUGCUAAUAGAAGAGAAAAUGAAGCCUAUAUUUUCACUUUUUGAAAACAUUGUGCCUAUACUUUGGUGCUCAUUUUCGAAUGUUGCCAUGUAGUUCACCGUUUUUGUUGUAUUUGGGCAAUGGGCCAUUGCAGCCCAGUGGAAAAUUUUGAACUUGUCAAGUUCAAUUUUUGUCUUCCUUAUUACGCAAUGUAGUCUUUACUGAUAAAAGGCCAGCUAGUCCUUACAAUGUGCCAUCAAAAAUCAAAGAUGUCGCACUAGGCUGGUGCGGGACUUCAAGGCAGCGACAUCAGCCAUCUUUUCUUGCUUUGCGAAGUCUUUCCUCAUUUUGACGAGCAUUGUGGAAGAGCGAUUCACUGAUGCAACCCAAAUUAUGAGACUUCUUUCUUUAAUGUCUCUUUAAAAAACGCAUGCUCCUUUCUACGUGUGCAUUAGGUUUAAUGGCAUCAGCUGUGGCAUUGUGGGCACAUAAAAAUUGUGACCACAUAGAUUGCAUUUCUGAGGCACCAACUGAGUGCAGUGAUUCUGCACCGAACUGAGGUUAAACCCUAUUGAGAUUCCUUUUUAUUUUUUUUUGCCCUUUAAAGGCAAAUAUAUCGUGGAUGGGUGGCCUUCUGGUGUAACACUCACACAUGCAAGUGAUGUUGGGGCAUUGCAUAUGUACACUCAGUAAACAUAUAAAAUUGAGACGUUUAGAUGGUGGGAUUUGAACGCUGGACCUCUUGUGCUGAAGCCUGAUACUUUAACCGUUACGCCAUAGGGGCAUGCCUGAUUGGGCAUGACGGAAUACCUUUAAGAUUGUCUCGCAUGCAAGCACAUGCAUAUGUAAACUUUGUCAUCGAGUAACCAUUAUGCUGUUUGCAUUGACAGUGAUCAUUGACACCACUCAAUUUCUACUGUUUUUUUUGUUUUUUUUCAUGUUUUAACAGAACGACGCAAUGUCGCACAUUAUGUGUGCCUCCACAGAAGUAUGCUGUUUUUUUUUUUUGCCAUGAAUGGUUGGCAAAAUCCUUGAAAGGAAAUGUAGAUGAAGGCUUAAUUGCUUUAAGCUUUGUGGAAAUUCCCUUAUAGCAGUAAGAAAGGAGAGGGGGGGGUGGGGAGUCUAGGCAGUUCUUGAUGCCUGUCACUUAUCACAUGGCACAUGAUCACUACUUUUAAUAGGUUUAGUUGUGUGAAAAAAAUUGAAAGUGCCUAAUAUUGCUUUUCUUCAAACACCUACCAUUUGCAAUGAACUUUUAUUUAUUUUUUUUGCCAGAUAAUAGUACAGGAUAAAAUCUAAACGGCGAACCGUCACCGACUAAAAUAUUUGCGAAUCAGUUUCAAGCGGUGUCGACUGAAAUGUGAUGUGCGAGCACUUCUGCAACUGUUUGCAAGUGAAAAAAAAAAGAGAAGAGCAACAGUUGUUUCUCAAGUGUGCAAAGUUGUGUACAUGUGAUGAAUAAACUAAACUUGUUUCCAUGUUCUGCCAAA